rnacentral:lncRNA from 1 species
GUAUAUUAUUGUUGCAACCGAGUAAUACUUAUCUCAAUUUUCUCUGCAUGUUUUGUAUUUUUCUCUGAAUAUUUUGCAAUUGUAAUGCAAGAUUUAUAUGAUUAAAAAAGAUUUAUAUGAUUAAAAAAGAUUUAUAUGAUUAUCACAUAUUUUCUUAUAAAUUAGUUAGUCUCUUCGUUUACGUAUCUAAACAAAAACAAAAACAAAAAUCAUGACCGAUGUCUAAACAUAUACCCAAAAAUAAAACAUAAAACAGUGUAUAAUCCACACAAUAAAUACAGCCCAAGUUUAAUUUGGGCUAUAUGUCAGACUAAUAUAGAUUUGAGAAUUAAAAGGUCAUUAGUGAAGUGACACAAUUCCUGAACUUCCGAGAAUAA